CCAACGGCCCUCUUUAGGGCCACAUUUGAUAAUCCCAUCUUUCAUCU
rfam:Caenorhabditis japonica strain DF5081 Contig10049.1, whole genome shotgun sequence.